UCGCGCAACUCUCCAUUCAUAGACUCUGGGUUUCGGUUGAUAGCUGCAAAAUUUUCGAUGAGAUUGAAAAUGUUUCAGAUUACCGUAAUAAACAACGUAAAAUUAUCAUUAUUUUCGCCAAGAAAUGAAGCCAGCUAAUAGUGCUAAAUUUUGCUGCCUUGCUGCUCUACGUUUCUCUGUUGCGAACCGAUCGCCGUACGCAAUAUCGUAGGGGUGAUUACCUGGGUCAUUUAAGUAUCGACGGAUUCACGGUCUUACAAAAAACUAUUUAUCCAGAAAGUUCCCACUGAUGAAAAGACAAAUAACAGCACGUUCCAGGAAGUGCUAGCCAAAACAUUUCAUUGGACCAAGGCGAAGUGUCGAUCGAUAAAUCCAUCCUUUUUUUGCUCGCCGGCAGUCUCUGGCAUCGGAAUUCGCUCCAGCUACUAAGCUUGCUCAAGCAUUUCACACCCAAAGCAGGAAAGGGAAAGUUUCCGGUACAGGGAAAUGAGUAGUUAGGCAGAUUUAUCAUCCAUAUUGCUAGUGUACCCAGAGUUGAAGAACACCUUCAGGAAAUAAUGGCCCAUUGAUUCAUCCA